rnacentral:rRNA from 1 species
UACGAGGGGGGCGAGCGUUGUUCGGAAUUAUUGGGCGUAAAGGGCGUGUAGGCGGUGCGGUAAGUGGGGCGUGAAAUCCACGGGCUUAACCCGUGGCGGUCGUUCCAGACUGCCGUGCUAGGGUAUGGGAGAGGGAAGUGGAAUUCCCGGUGUAGAGGUGAAAUUCGUAGAUAUCGGGAGGAACACCGGUGGCGAAGGCGGCGAUCUGGGUAGAUACUGACGCUGAGGUGCGAAAGCGUGGGGAGCAAACAGG